rnacentral:lncRNA from 1 species
UUAUUUUUUUGUGAGUAAUAAAAUUAUAUUUGGUCAUAUUGCUCUCUCUUCUCUCUAGUAUUGUUCCAAUCAUCCUUACUUACUAGUUUGAAAAGGCCACCAAGCUUAUUUAACAACUUUUGUGCUAGAAAUUAUCUAAAUGGUGCACGGAUUUACUGCACACAAUACUUAUCUCGUAACAAGUUGCUCUCGCAAAAUUACGUCAAUAUCUCCACAACCCACGAUUAAAAAGAAAGAAAAUUAUUGCAAAACAAAAUCAAAAGAAGUUUUAAAGAGAAAAGAUUUGUUAAUUAUAACGUUAUUGUAAGGUUUUUCGUGUGUGUGUGUGUGUAUUAAACUGGCAUAAAUAAUUUCAGAUUUGGCUCAUUAACAUGAAAGAUACGAAGCGAUAUAACAGGUUUCUUCUGCCUUGUCUUCUUAAGAAAUUACAAGUUCGAAAUUCUCCCACGCGAUUGAAAAAGAAAUGACAUCUCACUUGGCACCAAAGCUCACAAAAUUGUUGGUGGUGCUAUCAAUUAUUGUCCUGAUGAUCAUGUCACAGUCAUCCUUAGACUCAGUGGCUGCCAAAGGUGGCGGAGGUGCACGUGGCGGCGUGCGAGGUGGGGGCGCUGGUGCCGGCGUCAUCAUGUAUCAUUCAUCUACUUCUACAAGGCCAUUCCCAUUGCUUAGUUCCAUAACAAGUUUAUUUUCCCACGCUGCAUUACUUUUACUGCACUAUGCCAUGCAGUAGAUUUGAAAGUUUUCAUUUUUUUUUGUUCCUUAAUAAUUUUGCUGUUAUUGUUGGACUGGAUUGCAUCACAUUUUACCAUUUUUAUUUUCAUUUUUCUAGUUUUUAAUCUAAUUUAUGCCUUUUCAUAUUUUCCGAAAAAGUAUUUGAUUUUCAUAUAUAUAUUUCUUGAAGAACAGUACUGUUCGGGAUCCCAUCAUUAAUUAAGAUCCAAAUUUCCAUUCUUGUUUCAUUAUUUUGGAUGCGAUUCGAUUUGAUUGUUGUUUUUCCAUUAAUGAUUUUUGAAAGAGAGGAAAAAUCAAUUGAAUGUAUAGAUCAUGAUGAAAUUUAAUCGCGGUUUUUAUUUCCAUUUUAAUGUUGGGGUCUAAUGCAGGAAAUUUUGUCAUGUUUCAAAUUUCCAUUCUUAUUGAUGGUGGAAAGCUGAAAAGGAACCUUUAUGUUGUUUAAGAAGGGAUGGGGAAGAAGAGAAAACAGUAGAAAGAAGAAAAAAAAAUUGGAGAAGGGAAAGAGAAAAAUAAGCAUUAACUAGGGCAGAGAAAUAAUUUUAUUAUUAAUUAAUACCAUCUAGAGAGGUUUACCUUUGCUACACCUAGAGGGAAUAUAUGUAUAUAUUGACAAUAUCCCCCUUGGUCAUGUAUAAGAGUUAGACACCCGUUAGAUAGUUGAGGGAAUGUUCAAAAAUGACCUUCCCCACACAUUUCAAGGAAUGACAAGAUUAUUUAGUAUUGUAGAUGAUCUUUACAUUUGGCGCCAAAUGGGUUAGCGUAGUGAAAAGACUAUUAUACUUUUAUGAAUUUUUUUUGACAUUACACAAUCAUAUAAUUAAACAAAACUGAAUUCAGUGUUAAAAAGACCAAAAUGAGGCAAACCAACCACAAACACUUCACCAUCAAUUACUGCCUCAAUAUCAAACUAAGCUGCAUAAACAUUAAUAUAAAUAAUUAGCCUAACCAGGCCAAUAAAUGCCAUCUUUUAUACCAACAAUCUUAAAUGUAGCAAUGCAAAAUUAGAUAAGUAAUGGUAUGAGCUCUUACAUUGCAGAUUAUGCAUGAUGAAAGAUAACACUAAAUCUGGAAAUAUAUAUUUUGGCUGUAAUGUUAAUGUAUGCUAGGAAUCAGGAGUGUUGUAUGGAUAGGGUAAGUUUUGAUUUCCCUAAAUUCUCAACUUAAUAAAAUUCAUUGUUAAUACUAACUGUUACUAACUCUUAACUCACUGCCUACAAGCUUUGUGUAACCAAUUUUCUCUUAUAUCUUAAUGACAACCUCAAAAACCAACUGCCAAGCAUCUUAGUUUUACCAUGAAGUGCAAAUAUUUACACUUGUAUAAUCAAAUAAUGCAUCAAUUUACCAACAAAAUUUAGUUGUUGGAAUCACUCUAUAUAAAACAUUAAAAAAAAAAAAACAACUAGCAAGCGGUUGAAUUUUACAUAGGCUACACAUUUGUCAAAUAAUAAUUAAGAAAACCAAACAUAAGCAUUUUUCUCGACAAAAACCAUGCAUUCUCAUAAAAAGCAAUUUGAAAAAUAGAUCAAGCAAAUUUCAGUAAACAUUCCAGAUCACGGUCCAAAAUCAUCAAGAAUUAAUCAAUUUUCAUAGUUUACAUAACAUAUCCAAUGGUUAUCAACUUAAAAAUCAAUUCAUUUUCGGUCACUGCUUCAAUUUGUCAAAAUCUUAAAACAAAAUCCAAGAAAAUAAUAAAACCCAACUUCAAUUUUAAACUUCCACAUAAAUACACAUCUUCCACGCUCUUCAAUCAGUGGCUGUUCAGAUGUCGGUCAUCAUUAAAAUUCAGUUCAAAAUAUAGUUGAUCUCAUAGAUUUGUUAGUUUAGUGUAUCACAUAGUGCCUCAGCUAUUGCUAAAUUCAGAGGGUAUUAAGUUAUGUUCAGAAAAAACAAGAAGAAAUGAAGCUAAGCAUUGUCCGUGGGUUUGAAAAUGGGUUACUACCCCCCUCGGGUUUCACUAGCUUCAAAAGCAUCAUGUGCAUUCUCUAGUUGCUCUUGUCUAAUCAUUUACCGUAUAUCAGCUUUUGUAAGAUUUAAAAAUUAAAAAAUGGGGCAUUUACGUUGUUGCCCUCAACUAUCUAACGGGUGCCUAACUCUUAUACAUAGCCAGGGGGGAUAUUGUCAAUAUAUGCAUACAUUCUAUCUAGGUGUAGUAAAGGCAAACCUCAGGAGUGGUUUUUAAAAAUUACCCUGCCAUCAAAACUUCGAUCUUUUCACUAUUAUUCAAUCCAAGGGCUUAAAAUUAUAUUCAUUUUAAAUUUAUGCUCAUUUAAUCGGUAUAUGGCAUAUGAGACUAUUUGUACUCUAAAUUUUAUUUUAAAUAUUUUAAUUUAUAAUAAAAAUAUUCUUAAUAUAAUUAACUUAUUAACAAGGACAAUUUAAUAGAGUAUUAUUAGAGCAUCACCAAAAAUCUCUUUAAAUAAGAUUUUAUUACUUAUUUGAUAAACCACAUCGAUAUUUAAGGCUCCAAAAGACACUCAAAUAAAAAUCUUCAAAUAAGAAAUUAUUCUCUUUCUUUAAAUUUGGAGAGUUGCUUUCUCUCUCUUCAAUUUAUAUUUUAUUACUUUUUAUUGGAGAAAGAGAAAAAAGUACUUUAAUUGCUAUUAACUUUUCCUUUCAAAAAUAAUUAUUUGAUUAAAAUAAUAUUAACUUAUUUCUAUUUAAAGAGUUUUUUUUAAAAAUAUCAUAUUUUUUCACCUUUUUAUUUACCACAUAAGUAAACAAAUAGAUAUUUAAAAAGUAAAAUUUAUAAAAAAUUUUAGAGAUGCUCGUACUCUUGAACCUUGGCACCAUUUAAUGUGCACUCACUUCAUUAAUGCUAUUAUAUAAUCCUAUAACUUUCUUCAAUAUCAAACAUAAUUUGUUAUUUGUAAAAGAAAAUACUAAAGGUUAAUAAAUAUCCAAUAAGUUGCCGACUACAGAAAUUGAAAAAUAGUUUUUGUUUAUGUAGGAAAAAUAAGUAUCAUUAUUUUGUUUUAGAGAAAUUAAAAAAAAAAACCUGUAAGUUCCAAAAAGAAGAAAAAGAAAAAGAAAUCAGCUGCAUAUAGCUGUUGCUUGAAGAUUUUCAAAUAGAAAUAUAAAGUCAUGUACUAUUUAACAAAACCAAGAUAAGAAACUUUAGUAAUUUUAUAUGAUUUAUUGAACAAAUUUGCCCCAACUAGAACAGAAAACCUAAUCUAAAACUGAAUAGAACAGAAAAAUUAUCGAAAUUAGUUGCACUAGGGAUUUCUAUGUUUGCAUUUUGACUGAAUGAUUUUUUUUUUCAAGAAUUUUACUUAAUUCUUUUUUUUUUUUUUCAUUUAAUUAAACUGAAUAGAACAGAAAGCCUCUGCCAUGUUAGCUGCGACGGGUGGAUACGACACAUCGUUAUCAAUUAAUUAAAGACUCCACGUUCUAUUCAGAAGCUUUAUUAGCCAAGAAUAGCUAAAGCUAGUUGCAACAACUUAAUUGACCAAAGAGGAAACCCCACCAAACAAACAAACAAAUCCUUACCAUAAAUUGAUUCAUAAUAUAUUAAUAUUUCAAUUAGAAAUAUAAAUUGAAUUCACACUUUGUUUUAGGGAGGUGCCAAAUGGUCCCACUGGUUACUUAUUUACACUUACGUGUUAUCGGUUUCUCUAAUUUGAGUGGAAAAAAAAAAAAGAUAAAAAUCAUGAGGUCGCCGAAGCUCACAAAAUUGUUAGUUGUCAUCUCAAUUAUUGUCCUCGUCUCAUCAACAGAGGCUGCCAAAGGUGGUGGAGGCGGCGGCGGACGCGGUGGAGGCGGCCGCGGACCCAGAAGCGGUGGAGGGAUGCACAGCAUAGGCGGACACGGUUAUGGCGGCGCGCGAGGAGCUGGUGCAGUUGGCGGCAGUCAUGGGACUCAUGGCGGGAGUCAUUCAUCUGCAUCCUCAAGGCUAUCGCUCAGUUGGAUUACAAGUUUAUUUUCUUACGCUGCAUUGGUUUUAUGUGUUCUUAAUUUCUAAUUCAUACCAUCAACUACUAAGAUUUGAAAUUUUACCUUGCAAAUCUUUUUUUUUUUUUUAAUUUUAUGUCUCUGAAUUUUAUCCUUAUAUAUUUCAAUCUUGUUUUCUCAAUUUUAUUUUGAGAAUACAAGUCUGAAUUUUUUUUCUAAGAUAUUAAUAUAUGCUCACUUACAAUUGAUUUAGAGAAAUAACUAGCCAUUAUCAAAGAGAGCCACUUGUUUUCUCUCAAACCCAUCCCUUUCUCUCUCCUCUUCUCCAGCCUUCUGUUUGCUCCAUCUUCAACCGCUCCUCAGUUUCGCCAUAGUUGGCUCUUCAUCCGGUGGAAAUUUUGGAGGGUAAGUUUUAAAAACCACCCUGAGGUUUGCCUUUCCUACGCCUAGAGAGAAUAUAUGCAUAUAUUGACAACAUCUCCCUGGCCGUGUAUAAGAGUUAGUCAUCCGUUAGGUAGUUGAGGGCAAUAACGUAAAUGGUCUAUUUUUUUAUUUUUAAAUCUUAGAAAAAUAACAAGUCUAUGAGAUCAACUACGUUUCUAUCUGAAUUCCGGCGACGACCGGCAUCUGAACAGUCAGUGAUUGAAGAGCGUAGCAGGUGUGUAUUUAUGUGAAAGAUUAAAACUAAAGUUGGGUUAUAUUAUAUUCUUGGAUUUUGUUGAAUUGUUGCUAGUUAUAUACUUGACUUUUUUAUAUAGUUAAUUAAAAUUUUUACAAAUUGAAGCAAUGACCGAAAAUGAACUGAUUUUUAAGUUGAUAAUAAUUGGAUAUAUUAUGUAAACUAUGAAAACAGAUUAAUUCUUGAUGAUUUUGGACCAUGAUCUGUGAAUGUUUACUGAAAUUUUACAGCCAAAAUAUAUAUUUCCAGGUUUAGUGAUAAUCUUUCUUCAUGUAUAAUCUGCAAUGUUAGAGCUCGUGCCAUUGCUUAUCUAAUUUUGUAUUGCUACAUCUAAGAUUGUUCGUAUAAAAGAUGGCAUUUAUUGAACUUGUUAAGCUAAAUAUUUAUGUUAAUGUAUGCAGCUUAGUGUACUUUGACAUUGAGGCAGUAAUUGAUGAUGAAGUAUUUGUAGUUGGUUUAGCUAUUUCAGAGCAGUAUAGUUUGCACAAGAUGUGGACUGAUAUUAGGGAUGUUUGCUGGGGUCACUCUAUUAGGGAUGCGAAUGGGAUCAAGGUUCAAGUGAUGUUAUUACCUAAUUGUCACUGUUAAAAUACUUAGUUUAAAGGGCAUUUCAGUCUUUUUAACACUCAAUUCAAUUUUGUUUUAUAUAUGAUUGUGUAUUGUCAAAAAAUAAAUUCAUAAGGGUAUAAUAGUCUUUCCACUACUCUAAACCAUUUGGCUCCAAAUGUAAAAAUCAUAUACAGUAUCAAAUUAUCUUGUCAUUCCUUGAAAUGUGUUGUGAAGGGCAUUUUUGAACAUUCCCUCAACUGCCUAACGGAUGCCUAACUCUUAUACACAGUCAGGGGGGAUGUUGUCAAUAUAUAUAUAUAUUCUCUCUAGGUGUAGUAAAGGAAAACCUCAGGGGUAGUUUUUAAAACUUACCCAAAUUUUGGAUGAUGUAAUUUUAUUUUUCUUUUGAGUAGGACUAUUAGCACCCCUUCAAAAUAUUUUUUAAACCUUUUUUUUUCAAUUAUAUUUUAUUUAAUACCAAAAAUACCCUUUUUCUAAAUAAACACUAUUUUUAUUUAUAAAUCUUACAAUUUUCUAAUAACUUUCUCACUCUUUUAGUCUUAAUAAUUAUAUUCCUCUCUUCAAACUUUCUUUAUCAUUUAAUUUUUUUAAAAAAAAUCUAAAGGAAAAAGUAAGAAAAAUCUUAUAAAAUAUUGAAUAUUUUAUGGGUCCAAUACAAUUUCAUCGUACAUAUAAACUUUGGGUGCAAUAAUUAGUUUGAGAAUCCUUAAAAAAUUAUAUGUAGUGAGAUAAAAUUUUAUUUAAUAUAUUUUCUCUCAAUGUUGUAUCCUAAUUUUGUUGCUACAUAUAUUACAAGAGCAUUAUUUUGGCUUAAAAAUUUGCUUCUUAAAUUUAGAUUAAUUUAAUGAUUAAAUUUUUUUUUAUAGAUCGUUUUUUUUUUUUUUUUUUUUUUUUUUUUUUUUUUUUUUUUUUUUUUUUUUUUUUUUUUUUUUUUUUUUUUUUUUUUUUUUUUUUUUUUUUUUUUUUGCAGUUUUCUACUGUUUUUAUAUGUUAUGGUAUGUUUGUUUUCUAGUUUUGCAGAUUCACAUCUUGAAAAAGUUAGAGGAUUUCAUGCUAUAACAAAUGGGUGAAGACAGAAAAUAUGCUCCUGUACAAAUUGGAAAAAUCAAAUUUAAAGAUGGAGAGUAUUAUAUAAUAGAGCUUCAUCUAGUGAAUGACUCUUUGUUGGGUGCUCUUCUUUGUUGGAAGAUUUACUUCACUCGAAUAACUUUAAUACACUGGUUUUUGCUCUUAUUCUUCAGUGUGGAAAUGUAUUGAUUCAACCAAUUGUGUAUUUGUAAUAGAUAUCUAUUGAGAUCAUUUGUAUAAUAUUUUGUGUGUAUUAGAUGUGAUGGUGUACUGAUUUUCAAUU